UCCUUGGUGGCUCAGAGGGUAGAGCGUCUAUCUGCAAUGCUGGAGACCCAGGUUUGAUCCCUGGGUCGGGAA
rnacentral:tRNA from 1 species